GCCAGGCGUGGUGGCGCGUGCCUGUAAUCCCAGCUACUCAGGAGGCUGAGGCAUGAGAAUCACUUGAACCCAGGAGGUGGAGGUUGCAGUGAGCUGAGAUCGUGCCACUGCACUCCAGCCUGGGCAACAGAGUGAGACUCUGUCUUUA
rnacentral:SRP_RNA from 1 species